rnacentral:rRNA from 1 species
UUUGACAACUCUUUUAAUUUUGACCUCAAAUCAGGUAGGACUACCCGCUGAACUUAAGCAUAUCAAUAAG